rnacentral:rRNA from 1 species
AAAUUGAAGAGUUUGAUCAUGGCUCAGAUUGAACGCUGGCGGCAGGCCUAACACAUGCAAGUCGAACGGUAACAGGAAGCAGCUUGCUGCUUUGCUGACGAGUGGCGGACGGGUGAGUAAUGUCUGGGAAACUGCCUGAUGGAGGGGGAUAACUACUGGAAACGGUAGCUAAUACCGCAUAACGUCGCAAGACCAAAGAGGGGGACCUUCGGGCCUCUUGCCAUCAGAUGUGCCCAGAUGGGAUUAGCUAGUAGGUGGGGUAACGGCUCACCUAGGCGACGAUCCCUAGCUGGUCUGAGAGGAUGACCAGCCACACUGGAACUGAGACACGGUCCAGACUCCUACGGGAGGCAGCAGUGGGGAAUAUUGCACAAUGGGCGCAAGCCUGAUGCAGCCAUGCCGCGUGUAUGAAGAAGGCCUUCGGGUUGUAAAGUACUUUCAGCGGGGAGGAAGGCGAUGUGGUUAAUAACCGCGUCGAUUGACGUUACCCGCAGAAGAAGCACCGGCUAACUCCGUGCCAGCAGCCGCGGUAAUACGGAGGGUGCAAGCGUUAAUCGGAAUUACUGGGCGUAAAGCGCACGCAGGCGGUCUGUCAAGUCGGAUGUGAAAUCCCCGGGCUCAACCUGGGAACUGCAUCCGAAACUGGCAGGCUUGAGUCUCGUAGAGGGGGGUAGAAUUCCAGGUGUAGCGGUGAAAUGCGUAGAGAUCUGGAGGAAUACCGGUGGCGAAGGCGGCCCCCUGGACGAAGACUGACGCUCAGGUGCGAAAGCGUGGGGAGCAAACAGGAUUAGAUACCCUGGUAGUCCACGCCGUAAACGAUGUCGACUUGGAGGUUGUGCCCUUGAGGCGUGGCUUCCGGAGCUAACGCGUUAAGUCGACCGCCUGGGGAGUACGGCCGCAAGGUUAAAACUCAAAUGAAUUGACGGGGGCCCGCACAAGCGGUGGAGCAUGUGGUUUAAUUCGAUGCAACGCGAAGAACCUUACCUGGUCUUGACAUCCACAGAACUUUCCAGAGAUGGAUUGGUGCCUUCGGGAACUGUGAGACAGGUGCUGCAUGGCUGUCGUCAGCUCGUGUUGUGAAAUGUUGGGUUAAGUCCCGCAACGAGCGCAACCCUUAUCCUUUGUUGCCAGCGGUCCGGCCGGGAACUCAAAGGAGACUGCCAGUGAUAAACUGGAGGAAGGUGGGGAUGACGUCAAGUCAUCAUGGCCCUUACGACCAGGGCUACACACGUGCUACAAUGGCGCAUACAAAGAGAAGCAAACUCGCGAGAGCAAGCGGACCUCAUAAAGUGCGUCGUAGUCCGGAUUGGAGUCUGCAACUCGACUCCAUGAAGUCGGAAUCGCUAGUAAUCGUGAAUCAGAAUGUCACGGUGAAUACGUUCCCGGGCCUUGUACACACCGCCCGUCACACCAUGGGAGUGGGUUGCAAAAGAAGUAGGUAGCUUAACCUUCGGGAGGGCGCUUACCACUUUGUGAUUCAUGACUGGGGUGAAGUCGUAACAAGGUAACCGUAGGGGAACCUGCGGUUGGAUCACCUCCUUA